UGCCGUUCCGACCGGCGGUUGGGCCGUCAUCCGAUUCACUGCUAAUAAUCCAGGUGUGUGGCUCAUGCACUGCCACUUUGACUCCCACUUGCUGCUGGGGUUGGCGACGGCUUUCGAGGUGGACAAUGGACCCACCGCUGAAUCCACCCUCCCCCCACCACCUCCAGAUUACCCCACUUGUCAGAUUCAGCUGAGGUCGGUUGCGGACAACUGGAAACUAAAUAAGAUAGAAUAGGCGAAAGGCAAACGUCUCACACAAGUUUUUAUUCUAUUAUUUUGUUGAAGAAUCCCAAGGGAUCUGUGCUUUCUACCUACUAAGUGUGUAAGAUAAUAAACAGUCCAUUAUUUGAAAUAAAUAUUAAAUCAUUGGACUCGCAAUUAUAAGCAAA